rnacentral:sRNA from 1 species
UGAUCGGGACCCCCAACGUUUGGAAGCAG